UCUUUCUGCCCGGGUGUGAUCGGCAGUAGGGACUUGCAGCUGGACUGGGCUGGCACAGUUUGGGGGAGCGGGCGAGGGCAGGGCUGGAGUGAAAGAGGUUGAGGAAAAUGCUUUGGGAGAAGGGAUUCAGGAGGAGAAUUUCACUUCAUUGUUACGAUUGGUAGCCCUUCUGGGAACUGAGAAUUCACUUCUACCGCGCAGCAGAGACGGUGUUGCGGUGGUCCUUCGUGUCCCCGGCGCACGUGGCUGGGCGAGGACACGAGCGCCGGAUCUGGGAAGAAGAUCAGAGUCUGCGGGGGGACUGCGCUGCAGUGGCCAAGGAGAGAGGAUUUUCCCUACAGUUGCGCCAGACAGGGGAGCAGGAUGACCAAUCACCUGGGAGCCUCCCUCGCCGUCGCAGGAAGCCAACGGCCAUAGCGGGCUCAGCAAGGACAGCAGGACGUGUCUCAAAGGCCAAGAAUGUGGCCAGCACACAGCCACAGGAGAGGACAGACUCCUUCACUUUGGGUCGAACUUCCCAGACAGAGAAAAGCCCAUCAUCAAGAAGGGCUGCCCUUUGGAGGCUGAUCAAGGGACCAGGUGAACUCUGGGCGCCCCUGCCGACUCAGUGAUUCUGAGAUCAACUGAGGCCAGUUUAUGAACUUGGACUAUUCCUGAAGAAUUCUGGGUGUGAGGGGCUUGAAGGGAAAGAGCCUCCACUGAACCAAAGACCACUGACAUGGAUCGCCUUAGGGUGACUUCGGCUGGGUCCUGGAAGCUGCAGCCCUUUUAAAAAUACAAUUUUUGGCUAUGAUUUUCUUGGUUUCUCUCUCCUUUUUUUUGUUUCUUUUA
rnacentral:lncRNA from 1 species